rnacentral:rRNA from 1 species
AUAAUACUAGGUAAUAUGUAAUAAAAUUUAAAAACAAAUUUAAAACAUUUAUAAAAUGAGUAAAGGUGAUUAAAAAUUAUUUUAUAUUCUAAAUUAGUACUGAGAAGGAAAGAAAUUAAUUAAAUAAAAGAAAAAAUUAAAAUUUGUACCUUUUGUAUCAUGGUUUAACUAGAUUUAAAUUUUAUAUAUAAAUAUCUCGAAAUCUAAUGAGCUAUUUUUAGUCCAUAUAUUAGAAAAAGAAGAUUAAUUGUAGCAAAAAUUUUCUUAGAACUAAAAAUAGAAAUGAAAUUUUAUUCGUAUUAGAUGAUAGCUAGUUCUUCUUUAAAGGCAUAUAAGUGCUUCAAACUAUUUUUAGAAUUUAAGUUAUACCAUAAAAUCUAGAUACUUAGUUUGUGGAGAUUUUUGAGGAUAAGCUCGAAAAUUAAGUUAUAAAAUUGCAUAUAUAUUCUUAAAUCAAAUUUAAGCUUGAAAAUAGCUAUAAUUAUAUGAUUUUGUUAUAAUUUCAUUAAUUUUUUAUAUAUAUAAUAAAUUUGCUAACAAUCUAUAGAAGAAAAUUCAGAAACCUAAAUAUGAAUUGAACUUAUGUUAAAAUGAGUAUUAAUAAACUAUAUUUUUUAAAAAAUCAGGAAAAAUAAUUUAAAAAUAAAUACUAUAUUAAAAUUAUAAAAAGGAACUCGGCAAAUUCACAUUCUGCCUGUUUAUCAAAAACAUGGCUCCUUGUAAAAUAUAGAUAAGGAGUCGGACCUGCCCAGUGAAUUUUUUCAACGGCCGCGGUACUCUGACCGUGCAAAGGUAGCAUAAUCAUUUGCCUUAUAAUUGAAGGCUUGUAUGAAUGGUUUGACAAGAAUGUAGCUGUCUCUUUAUAAUUAAAUAGAAUUUUAUUUAUAGGUGAAGAAGCCUAUAUAAUAUUGAAAGACAAGAAGACCCUAUCGAGCUUGAAAGAAAUUAAUAAAUUCUAUAUAUUUAAUAUAAUAUAAAAAAUUAGUUAUUAAAAAUUUUGGUUGGGGCGACUAAGGAACAAAUAAAGCUUCCUUUAUUUUAGUAAUACAACCAAGUAAGGAUCCAAAAGCUUUGAUUAAAGGAAUUAGUUACCGUAGGGAUAACAGCAUUAUCUUUUUUGAGAGCUCUAAUCGAAAAAAAGGUUUGUGACCUCGAUGUUGGACCAGAAUAUCCUAAAGAUGCAGCCGUCUUUAAGGGUUGGUCUGUUCGACCAUUAAAAUUCUACGUGAUCUGAGUUCAGACCGGCGUGAGCCAGGUCAGUUUCUAUCUUCAAUUUUUAAAAUAAGUUUAGUACGAAAGGACCAAUUUAUUACAAAAUAUUUGUUUUAUUCAGAUGAAAUAUAAAGAAAAAUUAAAUAAAUUAUAAACACA